AUUUCUAUUGGAGCUUCGACAUGGAAUACGUAAUUGUGUUUACUAUAUGCCUUGCAGAGUUGAGGCAUGCUCCUCUGCCUAUGAAAGCAGAGAUCUAAAACCAGACGUGGUAUUUCCAGUAGAUCUGGCCAACAGAUCCCUUGGGUGGUUACAAUGCACUGAGAAACUGGGAGCAGAAGAAAGACGCCAUCAUUGAAAAUAUUGUCUCUCCCAAAUUUCCAAGACAACAACUGUGACUUAAGGACUCCUUCUACCACUGUAUCAUCUUUGUUCUUUUGGUACUAAAAUACAGAUUUUUCAAUAG